rnacentral:rRNA from 13 species
GUCGCUGCUCGAACUUCUACCCGAAAUCGAUUGUUCUUGUCCAGUUUGCUU